UACGAAGGGGGCUAGCGUUGCUCGGAAUCACUGGGCGUAAAGCGCACGUAGGCGGAUUGUUAAGUCAGGGGUGAAAUCCUGGAGCUCAACUCCAGAACUGCCUUUGAUACUGGCGAUCUCGAGUCCGGGAGAGGUGAGUGGAAUUUCGUGUGUAGGGGUGAAAUCCGUAGAUCUACGAAGGAACGCCAAAAGCGAAGGCAGCUCUCUGGGUCCCUACCGACGCUGGGGUGCGAAAGCAUGGGGAGCGAACAGG
rnacentral:rRNA from 1 species